rnacentral:rRNA from 1 species
GACGAACCGUGCGAACGUUGUUCGGAUUCACUGGGCUUAAAGGGCGCGUAGGCGGGCGGUCAAGUCGGGGGUGAAAUCUUUCCGCUUAACGGGAAGCGUGCCUCCGAUACUGAUCGCCUCGAGGGAGGUAGGGGCAUGUGGAACUUCCGGUGGAGCGGUGAAAUGCGUAGAUAUCGGGAGGAACACCGGUGGCGAAGGCGGUUCUCUGGGCCUUACCUGACACUGAGGAGCGAAAGCGUGGGGAGCGAACAGG